GGGUGCUCAAGUAUAAGAAGCUCAAGGGAAACAAAAAGACAUUGACCAUACCUAUUUUCCCAGGCUCCACUUUCAGGUUGAAAUCCCAGUUCCUCGGCAACUUCAGGGACAUUUUGCUCCCGCUUCAGUAGUCCCUGCAUGAUCUUCAGAGAAGAUUUCAAUAAGCAUAAAGAACACAAAAAUCGGGACGCCUGGGUGGCUCAGUCGGUUAAGCAUCUGCCUUCAGCUCAGGUGGUGGUUGGUACUGUCAUCCUCAUCAUCAUUACCACCGUGGCUGUUGUUUUCUGCAAGGAUUCGUAACAAUGCCUGGAGAGGACAGAAGAACAAUACACUAGCUGCCUCACGGAUCAGCAUCAGAGAAACGGAUGGCAGGGAAAGGGAGUUCAGUUUUCUGGAUUCUCCACAGCUGGAGCGUCUGAGUAGACUCCAGGAGAGUCACAACGCGAGUGCCCACUUUCGUCAGGAGGUCUCUGUUCAUGAGACAAAGCCAGGGGGGUUUCUCUGGGCUGGGCUCCUUGUGCGCCCUGACGAUCCCCUGUGAUCCAUAAGUUUCUCCUUACCAAGAGCAAAGAGGAACUUUGUUGCUAGUGCCACCUACACAUGUUGCUGAUGCUGUUUUUAACAGAACUAAUUGUAUAUUGGGGGAGGGACAUGAGCGAAGAUGAAUCUUGAGCCUCUUGGAGCUUGAAUCUUGAGCCUCUUGGAGCUUAAGCAGAAGGGACUUUCCAUUUUACUAUUUAACCAAAAAAACUCUUGGCGUAUAAAGAGGUGGCUGAGGAUUGGGCUCCAUCACACCUGUCUCCCACUGUCCUUGAAGAGUUGCUUGGUGCAAUUUUAAGACCUUGACCAUGGUGGCGGUUCCGUGAAUCGAAUGUCUUUGUUUUUCAGUGCUGAGUGUGCCGUGGGGGAAGAGGUUGAAAGCAAUGGGAAAGGCCUGCUCUGAUCAGGCAGCUGAGUGCAUGGUCCGUAGAGAAUUUUAAAAGUAUAACAAAACUAAAAGCCACCUACUUAAAAAUUCGUCACCAUGCGUAGUAAUUCUAAAUAACGUCUGUGCUAAAUACUCCUUCCCUCAGUUGGACCAUUUCCAACCCCUACCCCCGUGGUAGGUCCCCACAGCCCCUGCUGAUGAUAAUCCCACCUCCUCCCCAGGGGAUUCUCUCCUUGCCGUGGAACCUGCCAGUGUGGUGUAUUUUGAUUGAUUACACCACCCACCUGCAAAAUCCACACCAUCCCACUCCUUCCUACCCCAGCUUCUCAAGGAUUUGAACUCCUAUCCAAGCCCCUACCCCACUUUCCCCACUGGUAGUCUAAGAAACCCCCUCUUCCUUCCACGAGCCUUGAAUCUGAAUUAGAUGGCUCGGUCAGAAAGCCUGCGGGACACUGUGCUAAAAAGAAAUGCACUUGUGAUGAGCACUGGGUAUUGUAUAGAAGUGUUGAAUCACUAAAUUGUACAUCUGAAACUAACAUGACACCGUAUGGUAACUAACUGGAAUGUAAAUAAAAACUUGAAAAAAUAAAUCAAAAUAAAAAUAAAUGCCUUAAAAAACUGCAUCUUAA